GUCCACGCCCUAAACGAUGUCUACUAGUUGUUGGGAGAGUAAAAUCUCUUAGUAACGCAGCUAACGCGUGAAGUAGACCGCCUGGGGAGUACGGUCGCAAGAUUAAAACUCAAAGGAAUUGACGGGGCCCGCACAAGCGGUGGAUUAUGUGGAUUAAUUCGAUGCAACGCGAAAAACCUUACCUGGCCUUGACAUGCUACUAACGAAGCAGAGAUGCAUUAGGUGCUCGAAAGAGAAAGUAGACACAGGUGCUGCAUGGCUGUCGU
rnacentral:rRNA from 1 species